AGGCGCGUAGCUCAGUUGGUUAGAGCACCACCUUGACAUGGUGGGGGUCGUUGGUUCGAGUCCGAUCGCGCCUACCA
rnacentral:tRNA from 5 species